rnacentral:rRNA from 1 species
CACGUAGGGUGCGAGCGUUGUCCGGAAUUACUGGGCGUAAAGCGCACGUAGGCGGCUUUGUAAGUUAGAGGUGAAAGCCCGGAGCUCAACUCCGGAACUGCCUUUAAGACUGCAUCGCUUGAAUCCAGGAGAGGUGAGUGGAAUUCCGAGUGUAGAGGUGAAAUUCGUAGAUAUUCGGAAGAACACCAGUGGCGAAGGCGGCUCACUGGACUGGUAUUGACGCUGAGGUGCGAAAGCGUGGGGAGCAAACAGG